GGAAAUGGCUAGUUAAUUCCCUGAAUGCUC
rnacentral:piRNA from 1 species